AGACCCGAAACCCGGUGAUCUAGCCAUGGGCAGGUUGAAGGUUGGGUAACACUAACUGGAGGACCGAACCGACUAAUGUUGAAAAAUUAGCGGAUGACCUGUGGCUGGGGGUGAAAGGCCAAUCAAACCGGGAGAUAGCUGGUUCUCCCCGAAAGCUAUUUAGGUAGCGCCUCGUGAAUUCAUCUCCGGGGGUAGAGCACUGUUUCGGCUAGGGGGCCAUCCCGGCUUACCAACCCGAUGCAAACUGCGAAUACCGGAGAAUGUUAUCACGGGAGACACACGGCGGGUGCUAACGUCCGUCGUGAAGAGGGAAACAACCCAGACCGCCAGCUAAGGUCCCAAAGUCAUGGUUAAGUGGGAAACGAUGUGGGAAGGCCCAGACAGCCAGGAUGUUGGCUUAGAAGCAGCCAUCAUUUAAAGAAAGCGUAAUAGCUCACUGGUCGAGUCGGCCUGCGCGGAAGAUGUAACGGGGCUAAACCAUGCACCGAAGCUGCGGCAGCGAACGUAUCACCCAAGACAACUUUACGGAGUUGACGAUUGACGGAGCGAAGCGACGUCAAAGCGUUCAUUAAAGUCGAGUUGGCUUAGGGAUACGUUCGUUGGGUAGGGGAGCGUUCUGUAAGCCUGUGAAGGUGUGUCGUGAGGCAUGCUGGAGGUAUCAGAAGUGCGAAUGCUGACAUAAGUAACGAUAAAGCGGGUGAAAAGCCCGCUCGCCGGAAGACCAAGGGUUCCUGUCCAACGUUAAUCGGGGCAGGGUGAGUCGACCCCUAAGGCGAGGCCGAAAGGCGUAGUCGAUGGGAAACGGGUUAAUAUUCCCGUACUUGGUGUUACUGCGAAGGGGGGACGGAGAAGGCUAU
rnacentral:rRNA from 1 species